GCUCAAGUAUAUACAGCAUAGGUGAUAUAAUCCCCACCUAGGAAUAGGAUGAUGCCAGGAAGUAGUAGAUGGAAAAAUAAAAGUAUAAACUGUUAUACUUUUAUUUUUCCAUCUACUACUUCCUGGCAUCAUCCUAUUCCUAGGUAGGGAUUAUACCACCCAUGCUGUAUAUACUUGAGCA
rnacentral:snoRNA from 1 species